CAGCCGCCGCGGUAAUACGUAGGGUGCGAGCGUUAAUCGGAAUUACUGGGCGUAAAGCGUGCGCAGGCGGUUCGUUAAGACAGAUGUGAAAUCCCCGGGCUUAACCUGGGAACUGCAUUUGUGACUGACGGGCUAGAGUAUGGCAGAGGGGGGUAGAAUUCCACGUGUAGCAGUGAAAUGCGUAGAGAUGUGGAGGAAUACCGAUGGCGAAGGCAGCCCCCUGGGCCAAUACUGACGCUCAUGCACGAAAGCGUGGGGAGCAAACAGGAUUAGAUACCCGCGUAGUCCCUGUCUCUUAUAC
rnacentral:rRNA from 1 species